AUCUUAAACUGCCUUUCCUAAAUCCUAGGUCAUCAUCGUGUUAUCCCACCAUCCCACCGUCACCGUGUCGUUGCCAGUGACUGCAACCUUGUUCCGAAGUGAAGAAUCAACUCUGUAAAAGUUGAUAUCGAUCGACGAACUAUUAUCAUCAAACAUGGAAGGAGAGAUUUGUUUGGCAGUUCUCAUGAUGCAUCUGGUGGAAAUGCUGUUCCAGCAAGACCUAACCUUGAUAGGAUCAGGCAUGAAGCAAUUGAUAGUGGCCGUGGGAGGCAUAUCCCAGUCAAGAGGCAACCAUUUUCCCCCGAAGAAUGAUUUAACGGGCCAUUUGUUGGAAGGCACUUUUGAUGACCACUACUUUUAUGACGACAGUUCACAUGGGAGAAAAGGACCAUUUUUCAUGACAGUAAGCUAGACUUCAUUUAAAUUUCUUUUUUUGUUGAAGUAUUAUUGUUUUGAGAUUUCUGUCAGUGUCGCACAUAAUGUAACUUGUUUAAGUGUUUUUUUUUUUUGGCAUUAAGGACCAUGAUCCUGAUUACAUGGAUCCUAGCAGACUUAGACCUCGAUUAGAUUAUUCUGAUCCAGCAGCUCACGCACAUCGCUAUCAAGAUUCUUUUGGAGCUGGCAGCAGUCUCUACUCACACGAUUAUUAUGGCUCUAAUUAUGGUGAAGACUCAUAUUCAUCUUUUUAUGGGAAUGAUCACCCAUAUGGAGGUGGCUAUUACUACUAGAUUUGAGAGGCUUUGGCUCUUGCAGGUGGACCAGGGAUGGUGGGAUGGACAUCACUACAAUAUUGCUU